UACGUAGGGUGCAAGCGUUGUCCGGAAUUAUUGGGCGUAAAGAGCUCGUAGGCGGUCUGUCGCGUCUGCUGUGAAAACUCGGGGCUUAACCCCGGGCCUGCAGUGGGUACGGGCAGACUAGAGUGCGGUAGGGGAGACUGGAAUUCCUGGUGUAGCGGUGAAAUGCGCAGAUAUCGUAAGGAAGACCAGUGGCGAAGGCGGGUCUCUGGACAGUUCCUGACGCUGAGGCACGAAGGUCAGGGGAGCAAACGGG
rnacentral:rRNA from 1 species